rnacentral:lncRNA from 10 species
UUCAACUGGAAGUUUCCUUCUCCCUGUGGUCUUUCUCCAAUUCCACUUGCAGCCUUCCCCAAAGGACCUGUCUUGAGACAAAGUCAGAAAUAGCUUCCCUGGGGACUAGGAAUGUCUGCACUGCUUCCCAACUGCUUUCUCUACGCCUGUAUUUCACUUGGCUCUCUAAAUUUAUCUCAGCUGCAGUGUGUCUGGAAUCUAUUCCUUCUGGUGGAUUCGUAGUCUUGCUGACUUCAGGAGUGAAGCCGCAUACCCUCGCAGGUAUCUGUCGCCAAGGCUGGAGUGCAGUGGCAUGAUCUGGGCUCACCGCAGCUUCCGCCUCACAGGUUCAAGUGAUCUUCCCACCUCAGCCUCCCAGGUAGCUGGGACUAUAAGCGAAGACCACCACACUUGGCUAUUUUUUUUUUCAGUAGAGAUGGGGUUUCACUAUGUUGCCCAGGCUUGUCUCCAACUCAUGAGUUCAAGCAAUCUGCCCAUCUUGGCCUCCAAAAGUGCUGAGAUUUACAGAUAACAAAAUCCUGGAAAAGAGAUGCCAAGUAACUUUUCCAAGAUCAAUGAUCUAGUAACUGGCAGAGCUGGGUGCAAACCAAAGUGGUCUGACUUUGGAACUAAUAUAUGAAAUAUAAAUCAUCUUUUAAGUGGAGUGGCCCAAGAACACUUUAUAUAUGACCUAUAGAAAGAACACUCAACUCUUUCCUGAAAAACAGUACCAAGUUGAAGGCUGAAGAGGGAGUGAAUAAAUGGAAAAGUAUUUUUUUCUUAGGUAAGAAGACUAUAUUGCACAUGUACACAAAUUAUGUUAUGUACCAUUUGUUACACAAACAUUUUCAAUAGCAAUGACUGAGAAUACCCUGAGAUUCCAUCUGUAAAUGGACAGUAUAAAUAAAUGUGGUAUAUUCAUAUGAGAGAGUAUGUCAUUUUUUUAAGGUUGAUUAAUAUGUGCUAAUGUAAAAAGACAGGCAAGCUCUACUAGUGAAAAAAAGAAAGUACAGAACACAAUACUCCAAUUAAUCUAAAAAAAGGAGAUUUCCA